rnacentral:rRNA from 1 species
AUUGAACGCUGGCGGCAGGCCUAACACAUGCAAGUCGAGCGGAUGAAGGGAGCUUGCUCCUGGAUUCAGCGGCGGACGGGUGAGUAAUGCCUAGGAAUCUGCCUGGUAGUGGGGGAUAACGUCCGGAAACGGGCGCUAAUACCGCAUACGUCCUGAGGGAGAAAGUGGGGGCUCUUCGGACCUCACGCUAUCAGAUGAGCCUAGGUCGGAUUAGCUAGUUGGUGGGGUAAAGGCCUACCAAGGCGACGAUCCGUAACUGGUCUGAGAGGAUGAUCAGUCACACUGGAACUGAGACACGGUCCAGACUCCUACGGGAGGCAGCAGUGGGGAAUAUUGGACAAUGGGCGAAAGCCUGAUCCAGCCAUGCCGCGUGUGUGAAGAAGGUCUUCGGAUUGUAAAGCACUUUAAGUUGGGAGGAAGGGCAGUAAGUUAAUACCUUGCUGUUUUGACGGUACCAACAGAAUAAGCACCGGCUAACUUCGUG